GUUAACGGUUGAUGAGUUAGCUUAACUUUAGCUAAUUUUAAUGUCGGUUGUGUUUUUCAAAUAAGAUAUUGGAGUUUUGAGCCAGCUUGGUUAUAAAUUCGUUAAUUUUUAUACUUAGCUACACCUGUACUUAGUUUAUACUGGAAAAUUUACCUGCCACAAGGUAAAUUAAUAAUUUUUGCUAAUCCUGAGUGACGUUGAGGAAGUGACAAGCUAAAAACAAGCAAUAACUAUCUUCUUUGAGGUGACUUGAGCCAACAACUCGGUAAUUAGUAUGAAAAUAAUUUUCAGAGUUGCAGCUGAGAAGAAAACUGCUAUUAAAGGUGAAAUCCCUCUGAUGACCCCACCAGUCACAGUCCACCAGAAAGUGGAGAUCUGUGAACCCCUCAGUCUGUCUUAUAUCCUGGUGUUUCCCUGGCAACCAGAGGGACAGAUCUACCAACACAUACAGGUUUCUGUGUCUGAGGCGCUGCCCUCUGUCAGAGUGUCAUGCCUCAUUGUUUAUGAAGCAGGGCUCAAGUUGUGGCCUCUGCCCUCUUGGAGGAGGAUGUAGACAAGCCGAAGGCGGAGACAGUCAGCCAAUUAGAGUCUAGGAACGGUCAGCACCAUGCCAACAGUGCUGCUCGUCUGGCUCUCAGCAUCCAGGUCGCCGGGCUUUUAAUACUCGCGGCCAUUCAGGGAUAGCAUCCAUCACAGUGACCCUCACUCCUGCGGAGAGAUGCCAUCUGCCCUGUGCGCCGCGCUCUGUGUCAGUAUGUGACAGGACACGGCUUGUCACUGCGCACCCCCGGGGGAUUCUGACAACUGGCCCAGACACUGCCUCUUGCUCUGCUGGAGGUCGUUGCCAUGGAGACGUGGGGUCAGCCAGACCCUGCUCAUCAGUGUUCAGAGAUGACCUGGCACGGAUGACUUCAGCUUUCAUCUAUCGGUGUCCAGGACAAAGAGUUUUAGCAGUGCUAGUUGACCCCACAAACACAUCCCUUGGUGACCAUACUCCCCUGCAUGUCCUUCCUGCUAUGUCCGCCUCUCCGUAUCCAUUCAGAUGGGGAAUGUGCUGUGCUUUCACUCACCCUACAAGCAAAGCUACAAGGAGGCUGCACCCUGAGACGCUGCACUGUAGCACCCCCUACCUACAACUUCACACUUUACACCUCUUUGUGGGGUCAGUCCCAUUUCUGUGGCAGCUGCUCCAGGUGUCGAGCUCUACCUGCCGACGUGCCACUGUUUUGUGCCACCCUGGCCCUAACUGGCCCUCUGCUUGGGUUUGAGCUUACUCUGAUGGAUGCCAAGGAAUUGCUCUCAU